rnacentral:misc_RNA from 1 species
CAUCACGGCCGAUGACGAGCC